GCCCCAACCUAGAUGUUAACAUACAGAUGUCCUCGACAGAUGUUCUACUGCUGUUGCACUCUUUGUUGAGUGUACACAGCCAGCCAAAGGAGGGGGGGGGGGGCUUCCAAUAUACAUUUGUGAAGGCAAUAGGUGGCAUGAAAGACAAGGCUCUGUCUGAAGGCAGCACCUCAAAGAUACCCUCAACUAAGCAUGCAGUUUGUGUGGCACAACUCAUUGGGCUGUUGUGAAAGCAUGCAGCAAUGCCAUCUUGAUGGAUAACAGCUUUAAAGGCCCCUGUCCGCUGGGUAUAAACUGGGAAUUUCUAGCGAGGGGCAGAGUAGUGUACCCCAGGAUGCAGCCGCCUCAGUCAACCUCAGCAGAGGGUGGUUAAAAAUAAACCCUCUCUAAACCCCACCUGACAAAAGGAGAUCACUGAGGCAUACACCCGAAUAGUAGAAUGUGACUGACAGGGAAGGGAGAACAGAACACAUUGGGCAGCUCUCACGGCCCGCCCACUCUCCUCACACACCGUCUGAAAAGCCCAGCCAUUUCUGGGACUUUAGCUUGGCAUUAGCAUUGAUACAACAGCAUGCCUUGAGACUGUUGCUCAGUCUAAGAGGCUGGCAGGCAGUUCCUCCUGUCUGACUCUCUGACAGCUAAAGAAUCAGAUGGCGGGGAUGCAAAAUGUUACGCAGCCUCUUUGGCCAUGCCCCAUGAGAAAACAUAGCUGCUCCCAAGGGUGGAUGAUCUUCGGUGGGUAAGGAGUAGAUGUGCCGCUUUGAGGCAUGACAGUCAAAGGCUGUCACUUCUCUGCCAGGCUGCAUUCUUUGAACUGACUUCACAGUAGCCAUCUUCCUGGCUCUGAGGGUCUGUAGGUCACUAGAUUUCUUCUGGGUACACAGAAAGACUUCACGAUCUGACGUCUGGAAAUCAAACCCUGCCAGACCUGAGAUACUCCACUAGUAGUUUGUGAUGUGACAGUCGCUGCAUCUGUCAUUUCAGCCAUCAAAGACCUCUCCUGUCGUUCGAUACAUGGCAAAAACUGUGAUCGCUGACCGUCACAACUAAGAUACUGUUGGACGCUGUUCCUCGUUCUUGUCCCUCCUUCUUGCAGAAGUUAGUUUUUAAAUACCAGGACAUAAGUGAGAGGUCAGGGGUACGUGACAGAUGCCAAGACACAGCACGCCUGUCUUCCUGUUCGUUUGCUUAAAGUCUGCAAAACUGGAGUUGGGGGGCUAUGCUUGGCAUGUAGUCUGAGAAGUCGGGAGAACAACUCCUACACAAGGCUCUAUGUUCUUACCAAAUAUGGAGCCCCGUCAUGUAAAAACACUAGAAAUAGUCAAACCAGUGCUGGCACCUCAUUGAAACGAGGGCUUGGUGGUGGACACAAGAUCCUGGCAGAAGAAUACUCAGGAGUAUCUUGAUAGAUACUGAAUCUCUGUGUUGUUGCAUCUGUUGUACAGCUUGUGUGAAGUGGAUGCCUGGUAAGAUAGACCUUUCUGUAACCUACUGUUGGAUUUAGACCUUUUUUUUCUUUGGUGCCAUCUUAAGUUGACUAAUACAACUACUUUCCCAGCACAUUGUAAAUGUCAUCCUAAGGGACGCGCUGCAUUGUUUUAUUCAACAUGAAUUUGACAUUUUUCUUGACAGGACAUUUGUCGUUUUGUGGGAGAAUUGUGUGUUAUUACUUACGCUUGAGCUCCUUAAAAGUGAAUCAUUUAUUAUUUUUUACUUGACAAAUAGAACAAAUGUGUGGAAAUGGACAUGCACUUGAAAGGAGCGGCUGCGUAAAUUCUAAAAAAAAUAAUGGAAUUUUAUUAAGUGUGGUUGUGUUCUCACUACUUUUGUUCCACUCGCAGCCACUCUGAAACCACGUCAGUCAGCCAGCACGCACGGAACAGAUCAAUGCGUAAAUGGAGAGCACGCACAGCUUUAAAGUUUAGUGUCCAGGCCAUGACCCAAAUAAAAUGUUUCUUCUCCAAUAGGCGGCAUAUAAACUUACUAGACAAGUGCGACGGGCAAGAGAGUCCUGUCUGUGACGAGGCAUCAACGUCAUGCGAGAAGAGACGGCAUGGACAGAGAGAGAUAAAUAAAAGGGCCUAUAGCCUGAUGCUGAUGGUGGUUUCUAGGCCACUGCCACACCUAGCGAGGUGAUAGCAGGCGCAUUUAGAUCACAGGUUGCAGGCUGCAGCGCUGUCCACUUGAAUCCACGCCGCUCUCGUCUCCCUCUUCAACUUAACGCUGAUGAUGAGCAGCUCGCCUCAUCCCUUUGAUCUGGAGGGCUUCAGCAGCAGGGUGCCCCAGAUUCACAGACCACCUCCCUCCUCCCAACCAGUGCAGAGGCUGCUGCCCCUCCACUGUGGAGCACGACUGACACCUUCUGGCCUGAAGUGGUAGUGCAACAGGAGGAGUGCAAAGCAGACCUACUUGGUGGUUUGAAAUAUCAAUCAGAGGUUGCGGUGGUUCUGCACGAGGUGUCUGCAGAGGCCCAAGGCCAGGCAGAUGGAGUGUGUGUGAGGCGAGGGCAAGAAAAUGGUACAUCAGCGCAGAUCCUGAAUCGAUACCGGC